rnacentral:lncRNA from 1 species
AGAGAAGAAUUGGAAACAACAAUCCAAUCUACCACAAUCUGCUCACUGGGUCAUAAGGAUUCAUUUCCUUCCUGGCUGCCCAUAAACUACAUUAAUUAAUGCUCCCAAAGACUUCCCAAAAGUCUCACCCAAUCAUAGCAUCAGACAUAAUGUCCAGGAUCUCAUGAGCCACACUGGAUCCUGAGUUAACUUUUCUUGGAAACCUGGAAUGAAAAAGACAAAUGAUAUGUCCUACUCACUCCCAACACACAGUAGUGGAAAGAGAAAUGACAGACAUGGAAACACACUACACAUUCCCCAUUUAAAAGGGGAGGGCAGCCCAAUCUGGGUGUGAGGUAAGCAAGAAGCAGCCCUCCUGCAGCAGGGAAUAAGCAAUUGGAAAAUUAUAAGAGAUGUACCCAUAGCUGCAUUUUAACUGCAUUUAAUCGUCAGAGUAAAAUUUUAAAUGGCCAUAUUGUUUACUAAGUGUCAUAUUCACACAUGUUGGCAUUUGGACACUCUGAAGAACGUAACAAAACAACAAAGCCUGACUAAAGAGGAUCCAAAGGAAGGCACCAGGAAAUUAUUAUUACAAUGGCCGGAGGAUGGAAAGAAUGUCCCGGCCUUGCCUGCACCCUCACCCGCCCCCACACUGCCACCACGGAGAGUAUGCUUCAGGCAUAGCUAUUUCAAUGCAGCUUUAACACUUUAACCAAAUAUGGGUGAAGCCCAGCUUUGAAACGUAGUGUUCUAAGAGUGUACUGACUCUGAAUGCUCACCCAUGCGUCACAUCUUUGGAAUGUUUGGGGAAAGGGUGCCAGACAAACCUGGCACACAGUCUUCUGAAGUGUGUCCGUGUUUGGCAACCAAAGGCUGUUGAGAAAAAGACAGGUUGGUCCUGGAUUGUUCUUUCCAGUGUGCUUACAAUAUGAAUAGCAAGACCGUCAUGGAGUACUGAAUGAAAGUGACUAAUUACACACAACCUAAAUGUUCAACAGUAGAGAACAUGGCGUUAAAUGAUGGAAUAUUGAGGGUAAAAUAUUAGGCAAUUAAAAAUGUUUUCACAAGGGGCUUCCCUGGUGGCGCAGUGGUUGAGAGUCCGCCUGCCGAUGCAGGGGACACGGGUUCGUGCCCCUGUCUGGGAAGAUCCCACAUGCCGCGGAGCGGCUGGGCCCGUGAGCCAUGGCCGCUGAGCCUGCGCGUCCGGAGCCUGUGCUCUGCAACGGGAGAGGCCACAACAGUGAGAGGCCCACAUACCGC